CUCCCGGCACGGGGAGGUAGUGACGAAAAAAACGAUACGGGACUCAUCCGAGGCCCCGUGAUCGGAAUGAGCACACUUUAAAUCCUUUAACGAGGAUCAAUUGGAGGGCAAGUCUGGUGCCAGCAGCCGCGGUAAUUCCAGCUCCAAUAGCGUAUAUUAAAGUUGCUGCGGUUAAAAAGCUCGUAGUCGAAAUUGUGUCCUCGGCCGCCGGUUCGUCGCUCGCGACGCCAACUGGCGCGCACGUUGGACGUCCAGCCGGUACUACGAACUCGCCUACGGGGUGCUCUUAACCGAGUGUCCAGGCGGGGGCCGGCAACGUUACUUUGAACAAAUUAAAGUGCUUAAAGCAGGCUAAAUUGCGCUCGCAUACACGCGCAUGGAAUAAUCGAAUAGGACCUCCGUUCUAUUUUGUUGGGUUUUUGUGGAACGACAGACGGAGGUAAUGAUCAAUGGGUGCGGAUGGGGGCAUUCGUAUUGCGACGUUAGAGGUGAAAUUCUUGGAUCGUCGCAAGACGGACUUAAGCGAAAGCAUUUGCCAAAAACGCUUUCAUCGAUCAAGAACGAAAGUUAGAGGUUCGAAGGCGAUCAGAUACCGCCCUAGUUCUAACCAUAAACUAUGCCAGCUAGCGAUCCGCCGACGUUACUUCUAUGACUCGGCGGGCAGCUUCCGGGAAACCAAAGCUUUCGGGUUCCGGGGGAAGUAUGGUUGCAAAGCUGAAACUUAAAGGAAUUGACGGAAGGGCACCACCAGGAGUGGAGCCUGCGGCUUAAUUUGACUCAACACGGGAAACCUCACCAGGCCCGGACACCGGAAGGAUUGACAGAUUGAGAGCUCYCGUCUUGAUUCGGUGGGUGGUGGUGCAUGGCCGU
rnacentral:rRNA from 1 species